rnacentral:rRNA from 1 species
ACGAACGCUGGCGGCGUGCUUAACACAUGCAAGUCGAACGGAAAGGCCCUGCUUUUGUGGGGUGCUCGGGUGGCGAACGGGUGAGUAACACGUGAGUAACCUGCCCUUGACUUUGGGAUAACUUCAGGAAACUGGGGCUAAUACCGGAUAGGAGCUCCUGCUGCAUGGUGGGGGUUGGAAAGUUUCGGCGGUUGGGGAUGGACUCGCGGCUUAUCAGCUUGUUGGUGGGGUAGUGGCUUACCAAGGCUUUGACGGGUAGCCGGCCUGAGAGGGUGACCGGCCACAUUGGGACUGAGAUACGGCCCAGACUCCUACGGGAGGCAGCAGUGGGGAAUAUUGCACAAUGGGCGGAAGCCUGAUGCAGCAACGCCGCGUGCGGGAUGACGGCCUUCGGGUUGUAAACCGCUUUCGCCUGUGACGAAGCGUGGGUGACGGUAAUGGGUAAAGAAGCACCGGCUAACUACGU